rnacentral:lncRNA from 1 species
ACCCAGGAGGCAGAGGCUGCAGUGAGCCGAGAUCGCGCCACUGCACUCCAGCCUGGGUGACAAGAGUGAGACUUCGUCUAAGAAAAAGAAAAAGAUUUACGUCCAGAUCUCUCAGAUCUGCUGCCUGGCCCUUGACUACCGUGGCAUUCAGCUCCCCCGACAGCUUCCUUUCUCCAAGGAGGGAGCUGGACUCAUGGAGUCAGCCUGGGCAAGAGCAAACUCCUUGGGCCACUGCAGCAACUGCGCUCACUCUUUCGAGUUCCCGCCUUUUCCCUUGAAAUUCCCAUUUAUUGGGGGAUUAGACAUAAAUAUUUGUAAUUUAUAGUGCAAAUAGUCUUUACUUUGCUUCCUACAAAAUACUUAAAUCAAAAUGAGAUUGUCAGGCAGUGCACAAAACAGGUGUGGUCAACCACCUUUCUAAUGUUUGGAUAAUGUUAAAGAGGUCUGCGAAUUCAGGAAAUGAUCUCGUGGUUACCAGGCAGCCAGCGUACCCCUCCUGAUGGAUUGUGGGUCGGGAAGAGCACAAGUGUUUUGUAACUAUGGAAACAAACUGAGUUUGUCAAGCCAGAAAGCAACCCUCCAGCAUCCAGAUUACCCUUCGAAGACGGCAAAGAAAAAGAGAGCUCUGAAAUCACUCAACGCAUAGGAGCUGGUUCUAUAAUUUUUAGACUUUAAUUAAAUCAAUUAUUAAAGCCUUUCUUAAUGCCUUGCUGAGAUAUUCAGGCUCGGGCUGCCUCAGGAGAGAGGAAGUGGUUGAAUGCACAGAGGUGGCUAAUAAGAGGGGACACAACAUUCCAGAAUCCCACAGGAAAGAUUCUACCAUCUCCACAGCUGCCCUCGCCGCAGUCCUCCCUACUGUUGGAGAAGAUGCCCCCAAUAACUGGGGUGUCUCGAGCUAGUGGACACAUCAUGGAGCUGGGAGGUAGAACACUGGAUGAGCCACAGAAAGCACACAGGACUUUGCUGUGGAAGAGUCAAAGAUCCACGUGGGAGCAUCCCGUAGGGGACUUGCGUUUCAGAUCAGAUGAUGCUUUUCAUGUAUGUCCAGCAGCAAGAGAGUCCUUCACUGGUGAAAAAUCACGGGCCUCAGAGCAGAUUUUAGUUCAUCUUUCAUUUCAAAGCACUCCUUAGAUAUCUGCAAAUUAAAUCCCCUAAUUUGGUGAGGACGCCCAGCUUCCCAAAUAACAAGGCUUUU